UACGGAGGGAGCUAGCGUUGUUCGGAAUUACUGGGCGUAAAGCGCGCGUAGGCGGACCUGCAAGUCGGGGGUGAAAGCCCGAGGCUCAACCUCGGAACUGCCUUCGAUACUGCGGGUCUCGAGUCCGGGAGAGGUGAGUGGAAUUCCUAGUGUAGAGGUGAAAUUCGUAGAUAUUAGGAAGAACACCAGUGGCGAAGGCGGCUCACUGGCCCGGUACUGACGCUGAGGCG
rnacentral:rRNA from 1 species